GUGAAGAAAUUGGAAUUGAUUUUGAAAGAGUAAUUUCAUGUUGCCCUAUUAUGCAGGUUGGUUUUUUUGUAUGCAUGAUUUGAUAAGGCCAUUGGAUUCACCGCCAUUGGACAGACAGAAGCACGGUGAAAGAGCAGUGUGUGCAAGGAGUCCUUAUCAGCAGAGACUGUUCCAUUAGAUGUGUCUUCAUUUCAUCUCACAGAUAAACGCUGGAGAUCUCACCACACUUUAAAAAAAAAAAAACACUACCCGGCACAGUAUAGAGUUGAGUUUUCUUUAAACUCUCUCAAUGGCACACAAAAGGAAGAUCAGAAGCUGCAUCCUAAUGUACACAUAUCUGCUGGCGAUGCCGUCUGGACGCGACGCUCUCUCGUGCUGCAGAAGAGAUUUCACCAACAGCUCGUCCUCUUAUGAGCUGAGUGACCGUCCAGACCCGACCUGCCACACGCACUGGAGCGCUGACGAUAUAGUUGUGGUUGAUGAGACAGGAGGGGUGGACAAGACCAGAGCUCAUCAUGCAGGACCCCAGACCCUCAUUCUGAGAGGAAAACACACUCUUGUUAUUUUCCAGAUGGACUGUGCUUUACUGAAGCACUCUGUGGUAAUCCUUUGUAAGGAUCUCUGUCAGUCUUCAGAUGAAUUCAGCCCGGCUCCUGGACAAUCGCAGCACACACGCCGUCCAAAUAACGCUGCAAACAGGAGCACUUAUGAUGGCAUCUUCAUAUUUAUCUUCCUGUCCAUCAUCAUCUUCAUUUUUGUCACCUAGUUUUAUUGGGUCGUUUCUGUGUGUUUCGUGGUGAUGACUUUGGAUUCUGCGUCGUGGAGAUCAAACCCAGAGAUCACAACAGACCAUAACAGAAAUAUAUCCGUCUGUUUAUAUAGAUACAACUAACAAAUCUGUCC
rnacentral:lncRNA from 1 species